rnacentral:rRNA from 1 species
CUUCGGAACCUCGCGCGAUUGGAGCGGCCGAUGUCGGAUUAGCUAGUAGGUGAGGUAAAGGCUCACCUAGGCGACGAUCCGUAGCGGGUCUGAGAGGAUGAUCCGCCACACUGGGACUGAGACACGGCCCAGACUCCUACGGGAGGCAGCAGUGGGGAAUUUUGGACAAUGGGCGCAAGCCUGAUCCAGCCAUGCCGCGUGAGUGAAGAAGGCCUUCGGGUUGUAAAGCUCUUUCGGCCGGGAAGAAAUCGUGGUCUCUAACAUAGGCCAUGGAUGACGGUACCGGACUAAGAAGCACCGGCUAACUACGUG